rnacentral:rRNA from 1 species
CAGUCGCCACGGUAAUACGAAGGGUGCAAGCGUUACUCGGAAUUACUGGGCGUAAAGCGUGCGUAGGUGGUGGUUUAAGUCCGUUGUGAAAGCCCUGGGCUCAACCUGGGAAUUGCAGUGGAUACUGGGUCACUAGAGUGUGGUAGAGGAUAGUGGAAUUUCCGGUGUAGCAGUGAAAUGCGUAGAGAUCGGAAGGAACAUCUGUGGCGAAGGCGACUAUCUGGGCCAACACUGACACUGAGGCACGAAAGCGUGGGGAGCAAACAGGAUUAGAUACCCCUGUAGUCCCUGUAUCUUAUAC